GACGGAGGGGGCUAGCGUUGUUCGGAUUUACUGGGCGUAAAGAGCUCGUAGGCGGCUCGUUGCGUCGGCUGUGAAAAACCCGCAGCUCAACUGUGGGCUUGCAGCUGAUACGGGCGGGCUGGGAUUCGGUAGGGGAGACUGGAAUUCCUGGUGUAGCGGUGAAAUGCGCAGAUAUCAGGAGGAACACCGGUGGCGAAGGCGGGUCUCUGGGCCGAUAUCGACGCUGAGGAGCGAAAGCGUGGGGAGCGAACAGG
rnacentral:rRNA from 1 species